UACGUAGGGGGCAAGCGUUGUCCGGAAUUAUUGGGCGUAAAGCGCGCGCAGGCGGCUGUUUAAGUCUGGUGUUUAAGCCCGGGGCUCAACCCCGGUUCGCACUGGAAACUGGACGGCUUGAGUGCAGGAGAGGGAAGUGGAAUUCCACGUGUAGCGGUGAAAUGCGUAGAGAUGUGGAGGAACACCAGUGGCGAAGGCGACUUCCUGGCCUGUAACUGACGCUGAGGCGCGAAAGCGUGGGUAGCAAACAGG
rnacentral:rRNA from 1 species